GCCAAAUAAGAAAUUCAAUCCCAUUCACAACAGCCACAAAAAGAAUAAACAACCAAGGAAUACAGCUAAACAGGGAGGUUAAAGAUCUCUGCAAUGAGAAUUACAAGACACUGCUGAGAGGUUGCAGUGAGCUGAGAUUGUG